rnacentral:rRNA from 1 species
UACGUAGGUGGCAAGCGUUGUCCGGAUUUAUUGGGUUUAAAGGGUGCGUAGGCGGCUUUGUAAGUCAGUGGUGAAAUAUGGCAGCUCAACUGUCAAGGUGCCAUUGAUACUGCGGAGCUUGAGUACAGAUGAGGUAGGCGGAAUUGACGGUGUAGCGGUGAAAUGCUUAGAUAUCGUCAAGAACACCUAUAGCGAGGGCAGCUUACUAGGCUGUAACUGACGCUGAGGCACGAAAGCUAGGGGAGCAAACGGG